CUUGCAUGUUUCUCAGUUUGGUGGAGAAUAAGUACAACAUGAAUGUAUUCCACAAGCUAUUCUGGGAAUGGAUGUUAUUUGUCAAGCAAAGUCUGGAAUGGGUAAAAUGGCGGUUUUUGUACUUUCUACUCUUCAGUAAAUUGAGCCAACAGCAGGCCAAGUUGCUGCACUUGUGAUGUGUCAUACAAGAGAAUUGGCCUUCCAGAUUUGCCAUGAGUUUGAGCGAUUCAGCACGUACUUACUAGACAUCAAGAUUGCU